rnacentral:rRNA from 1 species
GACGAACGCUGGCGGCGUGCUUAACACAUGCAAGUGGAGCGACGAACCGGGCUUCGGCCCGGGGCAAAGCCGCGAACGGGUGAGUAUCACGUGGGUAACCUGCCCCGAUGACCGGGACAACCCGAGGAAACUCGGGCUAAUACCGGAUGUGCUCCUCGCACACCAGCGCGAGGAGGAAAGGAAGCUUCGGCCUCCGCAUCGGGAUGGGCCCGCGGCCCAUUAGCUUGUUGGUGAGGUAAAGGCUCACCAAGGCGACGAUGGGUAGCUGGUCUGAGAGGACGAUCAGCCACACUGGGACUGAGACACGGCCCAGACUCCUACGGGAGGCAGCAGUGGGGAAUCUUGCGCAAUGCGCGAAAGCGUGACGCAGCAACGCCGCGUGAGGGAAGAAGGCCUUCGGGUUGUAAACCUCUUUCAGGAGGGACGAAGGUUCAGGCGCGAAUAGCGUCCUGGACUGACGGUACCUCCAGAAGAAGCCCCGGCUAACUACGUGCCAGCCGCCGCAGUAAAAC